rnacentral:lncRNA from 1 species
AUUAUGAUCUCCUGAGAGGAGCAGCGAGAAGCUUGCCUGCCUGUACCCCCCAGCAAUUAAGGACCCCUUGGUAUUGUGAAAAAUGUCAGUGGAGUGUGUCUGAUUAGGCUCAUCAGUGCUCAGCAUGGGACACAUGUGUUUUUAAGAUGGAUCACCAUUAUCCCUGGCUGAAGAAUUGCAUGGGGUUUUCUAAUUACAAAUUAUUCCUGCUGGAUUUCAUUAUGCUUCCUCUUGUACUGGCUUUUUGUAUUUUCAGUAAUCUUAUAAAACUUUGAAAAUCAUGAUCAGUCAAGCUUAUCUUCUAAGUCUUUUUUUCUUUUUUCUUUUCUUUUCUUU